AUGUCCGGCCGCGGCAAGGGAGGCAAGGGGCUCGGCAAGGGCGGCGCCAAGCGCCACCGGAAGGUGCUGCGCGACAACAUCCAGGGCAUCACCAAGCCGGCGAUCCGGCGCCUCGCUCGGAGGGGCGGCGUGAAGCGCAUCUCCGGCCUCAUCUACGAGGAGACCCGCGGCGUGCUCAAGAUCUUCCUCGAGAACGUCAUCCGCGACGCCGUCACCUACACGGAGCACGCCCGCCGCAAGACCGUCACCGCCAUGGACGUCGUCUACGCGCUCAAGCGCCAGGGCCGCACCCUCUACGGCUUCGGCGGCUAG
rnacentral:rRNA from 1 species